UGCAACAUUUGUACAGCGUGAUGUACGCCGUGAAAAUUAUUGUUUUCCUUGUUUCUACGACGCUUAUCAUUCUGGCUCAUGUGAGACCACAUCUUUCCUAUAAAACAAUGAGCAUGUUCAAACAAAAUGUAUGUGAUCUUUCAUUUUUCUCCAGAAGACUUAACUGUGUAAUGUUUUCUUAACUUCACCAGUCUUUUAUAAACGGUCGAUAGUUAAGAAUGUGUGUUGAAAACCAGUGUUUUGCGUGUGAUAUGUAAUUAGAAACUAGAAGACGUGCAUUUUCUUGAAAAGAUGAUGGUAAAGUAUGAGUUAAUUACCACCCAUUUAAUGAAUUUCAUAUUUAAAUGAUUUAGAGAUUAAAACCGAAGAAAAAAUGUUUUUAGACCACAACGAGUUUCGAACCGCCGCCCGCCAGCCCACUCGAUUAUUAAUCUAGGACGCCACAAUUUUUUUAGGAAGUUUCCCAGUGACUAAAAGGGGAUGGGUGGGGGCAAAGUGGACAGGGGUCCCAAUCCGAGACCUGGCCACCAUGUCUCGUUCUCACCCUCCAGGAACCAAGGAAAGCGUAGGGAACGUGGAGUAGAGGUACAAUGAACAUCGUGUAUUUAUUUAUUUUCCUUUUUUCCGUUUAAAUAUAUGACAUUAAUACGACUGAGAAUAGAAGGAAACCGGCGUCGCGAGGAGGACGGCGCAGCAAGACGUCAGACUCGUUGAGACUACAGACGUAUAGUUUUCCCGAGAAGAACAUUCCGAUGACCAGAGACUAUAUCAGUUCUAAGUGUGGAAGAGACAGGGAAUCAACUCAUCAUGACAGGAACACCCCAGCUCUGCAGUGGGUUAAGGAAGACACUGCAAAGGGAAUAGGAGAAAAAUUGUAUUUUGCAUUCCGGACAAUUGCACAAUGGCGUUCAUUAAGGAACUGCCAAAAAUCACGGAUACUUUUCUCUCCAUCAGCAAACAAAUAGUGAGCUGCGUGUCCACAGAUCCACUUCACAGAUUUCGUCUUCGCUUGUGGAAAGUAUGCCGGGUCUGGAAAGAGAAGCAGUUUAGUAGGUAUCUGAUGAGAAGUCAUACUGGUAAUUACGGAAACAUCUGUCGCACCAACAUCCAGACACCUCUUGCCGAUCACACCAGGCGGUGCUCGUCUGUGUCCAAAACAUCACAGGGGACACACAGCGAGGUGUCUGCGAGGUGAAUCUCAUGUAAGCGUGACCAGCAUACUUGCUUCCCAUUGACAGUAAGGUAUCAUGCAGACUGGACGUCAUUGUCAAGAUAAGGAGCGCACACCGAUCGCCAAACGGCAAGCCAGUCGACGUCAACGUCUGGUCUUCUGCAAAAUACAGGGUGGAGCCUGAAGGUGUAUAAAGCCCAACACCCCACCCCUCAAUCACACAACCAUCAUCAGUCUUUGACAGUGUCUAGUUGUGUUCGUGUGCUCAUCGCAAGACGAAACGUUCAACCAGUAGCAGCGCCAGCAGCAGUGGUGAUGAGAAACAGCCAGACUUGGACUAACUGCCAUGUAAGUGUUUAUAAAGAAAAUUAUGAGUUCAAAUUGCGACAAUUUUAAGGUUUCGUAGCAAAGUAUUGUAAUUUUUCGAGAUUGUGACACAUUUUCGCAUCAGAUUGUUAUAAAAGUUCUCUUUCUUGCUGUUGCAGCAUUCAUUCAUGAAAUGAAGACUUAGCGCAUUAGCUGUAAGCUUAGAAGCAGCCAUGUAAGUACAUUUCCAAAUUUUGUGUCUGAUGGUUUACAUGUUCAGAACUUGUCGCUUAAAAGUUGAUAGCAGCAGCAAGUCGAAGAGGUUAUGCUACCUUCACGUAAGUGCAUCUCCAAAUUCCCUGUGUGUGUGAUAGCUUACGUGGUCAGAAAACAACUCUCGAUGUAUUCAAAUCGUAACAAGUAUUUAUAAAAGUUUUGAUCUCACUGUUGCAGCACUGGAGCAGCAGUUGACAGCCUUUGCACGGCUGCUGGAGACCAAAAGGCAGCAGCAGCAAGUGUUGCUAUGGAGCAAGAGAAGGAUAAUCUAGCAGGGGUAUGCGUCAAGGAUGAUGACCAGGAGUCGUCACUUCCAUCUGACGAAUUCAGUGGGAUGAUCAAUGGCUUCGCGGCAUUUCUGAGGAGGGUGAAAUACCGAAGUGCAUAAAUGAGAUGGUGGAUUCUGUGUAAGCCGAAAGGCAGUGCCAUCUCGCCCUUUUGGAUGAGGAGGAGGAAAUACUGGAUUGUGUGGGAGAACUAGUAGAAAAACUGACUGAACUGCUUAAUCCUUGAACCCAGAGUAUAAAAGAGUUGUCACCAACACUGCCACUACAACAACUUGCUGUAACAUGGGUGCCUAGAAGGGUGGUUGUGGGGACAGGCGUCAGACAUGCACCCGAGUGCAAACCACUGCUCAUAGCUGUGUGAGAGGCAGUGGACACAGCUGCAGUGUCAGCCCCUGCAGCAUCGCAUUCUCUCUGGCGUCUCUGGGUGGUUCAGUCAGAAGAA